rnacentral:rRNA from 1 species
UACGUAGGGCGCAAGCGUUGUCCGGAAUUAUUGGGCGUAAAGAGCUCGUAGGCGGUCUGUCGCGUCUGCCGUGAAAACCCGAGGCUUAACCUCGGGCUGGCGGUGGAUACGGGCAGACUAGAGGUAGGUAGGGGAGAAUGGAAUUCCCGGUGUAGCGGUGAAAUGCGCAGAUAUCGGGAGGAACACCGGUGGCGAAGGCGGUUCUCUGGGCCGAUACUGACGCUGAGGAGCGAAAGCGUGGGGAGCGAACAGG